GUUGAACGCUGGCGGCAUGCCUUACACAUGCAAGUCGAACGGCAGCACGGGGCAACCUGGUGGCGAGUGGCGAACGGGUGAGUAAUGCAUCGGAACGUACCUUUCAGUGGGGGAUAACGUAGCGAAAGUUACGCUAAUACCGCAUAUUCUGUGAGCAGGAAAGCAGGGGAUCGCAAGACCUUGCGCUGAUUGAGCGGCCGAUGUCAGAUUAGCUAGUUGGUGAGGUAAAGGCUCACCAAGGCGACGAUCUGUAGCGGGUCUGAGAGGAUGAUCCGCCAAACUGGAACUGAGACACGGUCCAGACUCCUACGGGAGGCAGCAGUGGGGAAUUUUGGACAAUGGGGGCAACCCUGAUCCAGCCAUGCCGCGUGAGUGAAGAAGGCCUUCGGGUUGUAAAGCUCUUUCGGCCGGGAAGAAAUCGCACGGGCUAAUACCCUGUGUGGAUGACGGUACCGGAAUAAGAAGCACCGGCUAACUACGUGCCAGCCGCCGCAGUAAAAC
rnacentral:rRNA from 1 species